AGAGUUUGAUCCUGGCUCAGGAUGAACGCUGGCGGCGUGCCUAAUACAUGCAAGUCGAGCGAACAGACGAGGAGCUUGCUCCUCUGACGUUGGCGGCGGACGGGUGAGUAACACGUGGAUAACCUACCUAUAAGACUGGGAUAACUUCGGGAAACCGGAGCUAAUACCGGAUAAUAUAUUGAACCGCAUGGUUCAAUAGUGAAAGACGGUUUUGCUGUCACUUAUAGAUGGAUCCGCGCCGCAUUAGCUAGUUGGUAAGGUAACGGCUUACCAAGGCAACGAUGCGUAGCCGACCUGAGAGGGUGAUCGGCCACACUGGAACUGAGACACGGUCCAGACUCCUACGGGAGGCAGCAGAAGGG
rnacentral:rRNA from 1 species